rnacentral:lncRNA from 1 species
CCACAUGUUCUCUUUGACUAGCUUCAGAUUUCAGUCUAGCCGUCUCUAAUUAUUGUAGAGCUGCUUCGUGUUGUUGCAUUAAAGCAGCACCUUGUUGCUGAAGGGCAGAUGCGAUGGUCUCCAAAGCUCUUGCCAAGCUUGGCAUGUUAGUGGUUUCACGGUUGGUUNGUNUACGUGCCAUUUCUCUGUUAACACAGAGAAUUAUCGUUAUUAUGAUUUAUAAUAUGGGUCUGUAGGAUAAACCUACAAUUCUAAGGUCGUCUUAAGGACGAACCGCUCUGAUACCACUAAGUGUAACACCCNAAAUUCUUACACAAAUCAUUUAAACAUAAAAUAUCACACAACGUUUACAUUUGUCCAUGGGUAAUUAUUCAUGAUUACACACUGAAAUUUUACAUAAUUUUUUUUUUAUAUAUAUCAACUUCACACGUCAUUGAUUAACUCGAUCUCUACUCUACAAUUCUCCCGCCUCUAUCUUCACUGGUGUUGGUUCAGACGUCGCUCCCUCGUCUGCUCCCGUAUAACAUAAACGUUAUACGAUCAUCGCAAAAAUAUAAUUGUUUUGACACAAGCAAACAAGUAAGCGUGAGCUACCUUGUAACGAAAAAAUACAAUUUAAAAUACAUGGAAAUAUUACUUCACAUUAUUCAUUCAUAACAAUAUUCAAGUGAGAUGCAAUUUGUCAUAUUAGACUCUAAUAUCCGGAUAUCAAGUUGAUGGAAGUCUCGGGUGGUCAUACACUUGUGUGACCCCUCCUCCUCUUCACAAUAUAACAUUCGGUCAAAUUAUCUCAUCAUGUCACCCACAAGGUUAAUCCGUUAACGUCUAUGACCAUAUUUGGACAUAUACUAGGAUCUCCUACCACUCUCACCAAAUAACAUAUCCUUCUCUAGUUGAGGCUGGAUAAGUAUUAGAGUAUUAGGAAAACCACCAACAACAGGACCCUCAACAUCAACUCGUACACUAACAUCAUGUUGUAAUAGAGUCUCUCCCCGAGACUCAUUAAAUACCAAAUUCUCAUAUCAUAGCAUUCACCUUAUACAGAAAUCACACAAUAUAUAUAUCACAAAAGUUAUAANCAAAUAAAUUCAUCACAAAAAUAGAUCAAGAUAAAGACUAGUAAUAAAAUAAUUUCAAAUACAACAAAGUCACAUAAAUUUAAACAAAAUAACAUUUAUUCACAUAAAAUUCAAUAUACAAAAUUUAAUGGAAUUAAAUAAAAUACGGUAAACACUUGAGGAAAUAAGAAGUUGAAUUCGGCAUAGCCAAUUAGACAACUUCUCAUUCUACCAAAAAUUGCAAGGAAAUAAAUAAACAUAAAGGAAAUAAAUAAAAUUGCAAAAGAAAUAAAGUAAAUAAAUAAAUGGAUGUAUUGGGGAAAUAAGAGGUUAAAUUCGGCAGAGCCAAUUAGACAACUUCUUAUCCUUCCAAAAUUGCAAGAAAAUAAAGAGGCAUAGAGUAAAUAAAUAAAAUAAAAAUAUUGGNNNNNNNNNNNNNNNNNNNNNNNNNNNNNNNNNNNNNNNNNNNNNNNNNNNNNNAAAUAAAUAAAAUAAAAACAUUGGGGAUAUAAGAAGUAAAUUCUUAUCCUUCCAAAAUUACAAGAAAGUAAAUCGGCAUAAAGUAAAUAAAUAAAAUAAAAAUAUUGGGGAUAUAAGAAUUAAAUUCUUAUCCUUCCAAUAUUGCAAGAAAAUAAAUAGGCAUAAAGUAAAUAAAUAAAAUAAAAAUAUUGGGGAUAUAAGAAUUAAAUUCUUAUCCUUCCAAAAUUACAAGAAAAUAAAUGUAAAUAAAUAAAAACGUAAAGAAAUAAUAAUAUAUUGGGGAAAUAAGAAGUUGAAUUCGGCAGAGCCCGUUAGACAACUUCUCAUCCUUCCAUAAUCAUAACAACAACAAAUGAUAAUCAUAAAUUAACACAACAAAAUAGAAUCAAUUCACAUAAUUAAUAGAUANAGGUAUCAUCACAGAAGCAAUUUCACAGUCAACACAUAAAUAAAAAUAAUAAUUCCAUAUAUCAAACAAGAACAUANAAAAAAAACACAAGGAUAGNUCCCCUUACCUCUAUCCCAGACUUAAUCUCUUGCUCAGAACUUGUUUUAGAAUCUUCCAGAGUCUCCNCUUUCCAACAGAAUUUCCUCUCACUAUCUCUUUCUCUCAAAAUUCUAAGAGUUUUUGGUGUAAAUUUUAGCCAUCCCCCUUAUGGCUAUUUAUAGUUAAAAAAUUUUACUAUUCAAAUUAUUUUUUUAAUAUUAUUUAUUGUUUUAAUAUUAUUUUAUUAAUAUUUUAAUCACCAAUUGUAAAACCACUUGCAAAUCUUAUCCUCUCCUUAAUUAUGCAACUUAGAGAAUCUUAUCCUCUCAUUAUUAUUAUUAUUAUUAUUUUUUUUACUAUUCACUAUUCACUUUUUACUAUUCACUUUUACUAUUCAAAAAUAUUAUCCUAAUGUCACAUGUUUAUUAUUAUUAUUAUUAUUAUUAUUAUUAUUUUCUUUAUAUUUUCUACCUUUAAUAUCAUUACUACAAAAAUUUAUAUUAUUUAUGAAAAUUUUUCCUGGACUUUACA